rnacentral:rRNA from 1 species
GACGAACGCUGGCGGCGUGCCUAAUACAUGCAAGUAGAACGCUGAAGCUUGGUGCUUGCACCGAGCGGAUGAGUUGCGAACGGGUGAGUAACGCGUAGGUAACCUGCCUGGUAGCGGGGGAUAACUAUUGGAAACGAUAGCUAAUACCGCAUAAAAUGGAUUAUCGCAUGAUAAUCCAUUGAAAGGUGCAAAUGCAUCACUACCAGAUGGACCUGCGUUGUAUUAGCUAGUUGGUGGGGUAACGGCUCACCAAGGCGACGAUACAUAGCCGACCUGAGAGGGUGAUCGGCCACACUGGGACUGAGACACGGCCCAGACUCCUACGGGAGGCAGCAGUAGGGAAUCUUCGGCAAUGGACGGAAGUCUGACCGAGCAACGCCGCGUGAGUGAAGAAGGUUUUCGGAUCGUAAAGCUCUGUUGUAAGAGAAGAACGAGUGUGAGAGUGGAAAGUUCACACUGUGACGGUAUCUUACCAGAAAGGGACGGCUAACUACGUGCCAGCAGCCGCGGUAAUACGUAGGUCCCGAGCGUUGUCCGGAUUUAUUGGGCGUAAAGCGAGCGCAGGCGGUUAGAUAAGUCUGAAGUUAAAGGCUGUGGCUUAACCAUAGUACGCUUUGGAAACUGUUUAACUUGAGUGCAAGAGGGGAGAGUGGAAUUCCAUGUGUUGCGGUGAAAUGCGUAGAUAUAUGGAGGAACACCGGUGGCGAAAGCGGCUCUCUGGCUUGUAACUGACGCUGAGGCUCGAAAGCGUGGGGAGCAAACAGG